GUGUCAGCAGCCGCGGUAAUACGGAGGGGGCUAGCGUUGUUCGGAAUUACUGGGCGUAAAGCGCACGUAGGCGGUGGCGCAUGUCAGAUGUGAAAGCCCUGGGCUUAACCUAGGAAUUGCAUUUGAAACUGCGUCGCUAGAGGCCGGAAGAGGGUAGUGGAAUUCCCAGUGUAGAGGUGAAAUUCGUAGAUAUUGGGAAGAACACCGGUGGCGAAGGCGGCUACCUGGUCCGGUUCUGACGCUGAGGUGCGAAAGCGUGGGGAGCAAACAGGAUUAGAUACCCCAGUAGUCC
rnacentral:rRNA from 1 species